rnacentral:rRNA from 1 species
AUUGAACGCUGGCGGCAGGCCUAACACAUGCAAGUCGAGCGGAUGAAGGGAGCUUGCUCCUGGAUUCAGCGGCGGACGGGUGAGUAAUGCCUAGGAAUCUGCCUGGUAGUGGGGGAUAACGUCCGGAAACGGGCGCUAAUACCGCAUACGUCCUGAGGGAGAAAGUGGGGGAUCUUCGGACCUCACGCUAUCAGAUGAGCCUAGGUCGGAUUAGCUAGUUGGUGGGGUAAAGGCCUACCAAGGCGACGAUCCGUAACUGGUCUGAGAGGAUGAUCAGUCACACGGGAACUGAGACACGGUCCAGACUCCUACGGGAGGCAGCAGUGGGGAAUAUUGGACAAUGGGCGAAAGCCUGAUACAGCCAUGCCGCGUGUGUGAAGAAGGUCUUCGGAUUGUAAAGCACUUUAAGUUGGGAGGAAGGGCAGUAAGUUAAUACCUUGCUGUUUUGACGUUACCAACAGAAUAAGCACCGGCUAACUUCGUG